AUUGAACGCUGGCGGCAUGCCUUACACAUGCAAGUCGAACGGCAGCACGGGAGCAAUCCUGGUGGCGAGUGGCGAACGGGUGAGUAAUGUAUCGGAACGUACCUUUCAGUGGGGAUAACGUAGCGAAAGUUACGCUAAUACCGCAUAUUCUGUGAGCAGGAAAGCAGGGGAUCGCAAGACCUUGCGCUGAUUGAGCGGCCGAUAUCAGAUUAGCUAGUUGGUGAGGUAAAGGCUCACCAAGGCGACGAUCUGUAGCGGGUCUGAGAGGAUGAUCCGCCACGCUGGAACUGAGACACGGUCCAGACUCCUACGGGAGGCAGCAGUGGGGAAUUUUGGACAAUGGGCGCAAGCCUGAUCCAGCCAUGCCGCGUGAGUGAAGAAGGCC
rnacentral:rRNA from 1 species